GCCAGCAAGAGAGCAGAAGCAGGAAGAAAGCCAGCCGGAAGACACCUACCCUGGCCGGAAGACACGUACCCCCGAAGAUCGAGAAAGAGGCUGUCCGGGUAGUAUGUAGCAGUCACGUCAGACUGAGACACUUCUUGUUUACAGGAGACCAUAAAACCCCUGCCCCAUCCUCAUUUGGUGCUGAGGCCGUUUUAGGCCUCAGCCCGCCUGUACCCAGGCACUCAUUAAAACAGCGUGUUGCUCCACAGGGCCUCGUGUUGUCUGUUGGCACGCUCUUGGGCUUGGAACCGAUACAAGAACCUUACAAUGAGGUGGAAGAGAGAAGCACGGCAGGAUUGUGCACAAAGUCUUGUCUGUUGUGGAAUGGAGUUUGGACCUUUCCCACCACUUUCAAGGAAGGGAAUGAAUUGACCUGGUUCACUUCCUAAGAAGGCUACUGUCUGUGUGGUGCUCCUAGAGGCAUGGGAGAGGAGUGAAGACAGAGAUGACCAAAGAAACACUUGGGGAAAGAAUGGAAGCGGCAUGUGUUAGCUUGGGAAAGGGAAACAUACCAGCAUCCGAGAUCUGGCCAUCAGGGAGAAUAACAAACACUGACGAAAUUCUACUCUCAUGUUUGAAGAACCAGCA
rnacentral:lncRNA from 1 species